GAUGAAGAACGUAGCGAAAUGCGAUAAGUAAUGUGAAUUGCAGAAUUCAGUGAAUCAUCGAAUCUUUGAACGCACAUUGCGCCCGCCAGUAUUCUGGCGGGCAUGCCUGUUCGAGCGUCAUUUCAACCAUCAAGCCCCAGGCUUGUGUUGGGGACCUGCGGCUGCCGCAGGCCCUGAAAACCAGUGGCGGGCUCGCUGUCACACCGGGCGUAGUAGAUUUUAUCUCGCUCAGGGCGUGCUGCGGGUUCCGGCCGUUAAAAAGCCUUUUUUACCCAAGGUUGACCUCGGAUCAGGUAGGAAGACCCGCUGAACUUAAGCAUAUCACUAAGCGGAGGA
rnacentral:misc_RNA from 1 species